rnacentral:rRNA from 1 species
CAGCAGCAGCCGCGGGAAUACGAAGGGUGCAAGCGUUACUCGGAAUUACUGAGCGUAAAGCGUGCGUAGGUGGUGGUUUAAGUCCGUUGUGAAAGCCCUGGGCUCAACCUGGGAAUUGCAGUGGAUACUGGGUCACUAGAGUGUGGUAGAGGAUAGUGGAAUUUCCGGUGUAGCAGUGAAAUGCGUAGAGAUCGGAAGGAACAUCUGUGGCGAAGGCGACUAUCUGGGCCAACACUGACACUGAGGCACGAAAGCGUGGGGAGCAAACAGGAUUAGAUACCCCAGUAGUCCCUGUCUCUUAUAC